GAUCCUGGCUCAGGAUGAACGCUAGCGACAGGCUUAACACAUGCAAGUCGAGGGGCAGCAUGAUUUGUAGCAAUACAGAUUGAUGGCGACCGGCGCACGGGUGAGUAACGCGUAUGCAACCUGCCGAUAACUUCGGGAUAGCCUUUCGAAAGAAAGAUUAAUACCGGAUGGCAUAGUUUUCCCGCAUGGAAUAACUAUUAAAGAAUUUCGGUUAUCGAUGGGGAUGCGUUCCAUUAGG
rnacentral:rRNA from 1 species